rnacentral:lncRNA from 1 species
UUUCUCUGGCUGACAUUAAUUUACCUUGAUUUGAAAUCUGGGCAGUCCAUUCCCUUGAUCCUGUGGAAGCCUUCUCCAUGUGCUGAUUCCACUGUGCCAUCGUUAGAAACAGCGUGACUUGUGCAGCAGGUAGCUCGGCAAGAGUCAGAUCAAGCAAAUGUGACCAGAAGGAAUCUGACGCAACCAACCCUUCCUUUGCAAUAAACGCGGGAUCCAAAACAAACCUUUGGUGCUCUCAGCAUCGCUGCCCAAGGAACCAGGCAUCCUGCAAAUAAAUACUGAAUUGCAAAUCUGUGGCUGAGGACCCCCCGUUGGUGGCUGUGUCCCAGCGCCGUGCCGUCACGCAGGAACCGGUGCAGCUCCAGUUCUAGUCCCCGGGUGCCGAGGGUGCCGUGGUUCUCUUUGAAAAGAUUUCCUGCUAAUCUCUCCGGUGUCUGUGACAAAGGAAAGUUCCUCGGCAUUACCUCAAAUGUUAAAAUAUUAAUGAGGAGAGGGUUUGGUGGCUGGCAAAAGCUGCCUUUGCUAGCACUGGAGAUGGACUUAAUGAUCUCUGUGCCUUUGCUACUGCGAAAUGAACAUCUUACACAGGAGAGAUUAGACAGACCUGACACCUUUAAUAAAAUACGGCCUGUAUUUCUACAGAUGUAUUUAAAGUCAUUUAAACCCUUUAAUGUUUUAUGAAAUAGCAAAGCUUGGUGUGAAUCUAUUUAGAAUGGUCUUUAAGCGCCGCAGUGGGUUUUAUUUCGCCCCAGCUCCCGUUUGUAAGGUGCUCGCUCCCUAUAUCAUGUUUAUAUAUGUAUAAUUUUUUUUCCACUCAGAUGACUUUUUGAAAUGAAUAAAAUGCUCAUAAAAGGUGCAUGGUUGAUGGCACUACAGAGUAUAGCCAAGAGUUUUGAAACAGGCUGCCUGCGUGAAUCUUAAAUCACUUUAGGGGCUGAAGGGAGCCGCCUGACUUUCCCCUGGCCCGGCGCAGCAAGCGCUGCCCGCUCUCAGCAUGAACUGGGACCGCUGCUGGUGCCUCGGGGAGCCGGGGACCUUGGCUGGACAUCGGUCCUUUGGUUGGCCUCAUGUGCUUUGGGAAGGAGCUGGCCAGAGCAUCUCACAGCCACACAUCCUUGGUGGAUUGGCUCAGAAGAGAAGCUCUGAACUCGGGCUUUGGUUACAUCCAGCCAAGAGCUGGGCUGAGAGCAGGAGCCGUGCCUGCCCGCGGCCACAUGGGCAUGGGGAGCACCCAGCUCUGCUGCUAGAAGUGAUGGCCCCCUGGCAAAGGGACAUGCAAAUGUCUCAAACUUUCAGUCUUUUCUCCAGAAAGCACACCUGGUGUCUGAUCCGCAGACACUGGUGACUUUAAUAAGAGCAGCAGCUCCUGCCAUUAAUGCCCCUCUUGUUUUUACAUUUUGUUGCAACAUCUUAGGAUAAAAAUACAUAUAUUUGCAGCUGAGCUUAUAGAAAGCUGCUUUAUGUAGGCACAGCCCCUUCGCUGGCCGCAGUCUUUUGGCCAGGCAGGGUACAGUCAGUGUCUUGUAAGCGUCAGGGGAGCGGGUUAGCAGCUUUCCCCAUAAAACCAGCUCAAAGCCUUUCCCUGUUGCUGCGCAUUUAAUUUCCCCAUUCAGAAGCUGGUGAGAGCAAAGGCAACUUGCAUAUGGAAACUUUUAAUUAAACUACUAAUAUAGAGUCGAGUCGUUUCUGGUGGAGGUUUAAGUAGUCUGUGGGAGAAGUGCUGAGUUGUGGGAGAGGAAGGCAGCGUUUGUCUCCAGCCCUGGAAUUUGUCCAUUCAUCAAGCAGUCGUCCCAGGAGUUGAAGCUGAUCCAAUUGCGUGUCAACAACAUUGGCCAUGCCUCAUUAGAAAUCAGUUGUAAAAAGUUUUUUAAAAGAGCAUUAAUUCAUCUAGCUUCUUUUUUCCCCCCC